UACGAAGGGGGGCUAGCGUUGUUCGGAAUUACUGGGCGUAAAGCGCACGUAGGCGGAUCAUUUAGUCAGGGGUGAAAUCCCGGGGCUCAACCUCGGAACUGCCUUUGAUACUGAUGGUCUCGAGUCCGAUAGAGGUGAGUGGAAUUCCUAGUGUAGAGGUGAAAUUCGUAGAUAUUAGGAAGAACACCAGUGGCGAAGGCGGCUCACUGGAUCGGUACUGACGCUGAGGUGCGAAAGCGUGGGGAGCAAACAGG
rnacentral:rRNA from 1 species